AUCUGUACGCAUCCCUAACUCUCUCCCUCUCUUACCACGUUCAAUUGACAACCCCCUUUCCUCACUCACCCUCGCCCUCGCCGUCUUGUCUCCCUCUUUAUCUCUUGGUGAUGCAGAAGCAACGACAUGGUGGCGUAACCAAGCGACACUCUCUCAAUUUAUGCAUGUGGUUCGCCGAUGUAUGAGAAUGAUGGGGCUCGGCGAGCUACGUACGAGGUUGGUCGUUUGCUAGCUAAUGAAAGAAACAAGAGUGCAAGGUGUUUUCAAAGGUGGAAGUCAUAUAUGUUGGGGAAAACUUAUACAAGAUCUUGUUUAUUUUUAUGUAAAUCAUAUAUUAAACAAAUUAAUAUAAGAAAACUUAGAGCAUGUUUCUAUAAUUGGAUUUAUACAAAAAUAAUGAUAAGAACACUUACAUUAUACGUAACGAAAUGUAUUAAUCAUUCCUUUA